GCAUGUGGUUUAAUUCGAUGAUACGCGAGGAACCUUACCAGGGCUUAAAUGUAUUGCAUAAGCUAGAGAUAGCUUUUUCUUCGGACCAUCAAGGUGCUGCAUGGUUGUCGUCAGCUCGUGCCGUGAGGUGUCAGGUUAAGUCCUAUAACGAGCGCAACCCCUACCGUUAGUUGCUAGCAGGUCACUGAGGACUCUAACGGGACUGCCGGUGCAAACCGUGAGGAAGGUGGGGACGACGUCAAAUCAUCACGGCCCUUACGUCCUGGGCCACACACGUGCUACAAUGGCCGGUACAGAGGGAAGAUCUAUAAAACCGGUCACAGUUCGGAUCGGGGUCUGCAACUCGACCCCGUGAAGCUGGAAUCGCUAGUAAUCGGAUAUCAGCAUGAUCCGGUGAAUACGUUCCCGGGCCUUGUACACACCGCCCGUCAAGCCAUGGAAGCUGGGAGUGCCUGAAGUCCGUCACCGUAAG
rnacentral:rRNA from 1 species